AGUCUGGUGCCAGCAGCCGCGGUAAUUCCAGCUCCGCAAGUGUAUAUCUAUGUUGCUGCGGUUAAAAAGCUCGUAGUUGGAUCUGCGUGUUUAGCGUCCGGUUCGACUUUUGGUCGUUACUGGAACGCGACACAGAUGUGCUGGUUUGCCGUUGAUGCUCUUAACCGGGUGUCAGUGGCGGCUAGCGAGUUUACUUUGAAAAAAUUAGAGUGCUCAAAACAGGCGUUUCGCCUGAAUAUUUCUGCAUGGAAUAAUAGAAUAGGACUUCGAUUCUAUUCUGUUGGUUUUCGGAAUGCGAAGUAAUGAUUAAGAGGGACAGACGAGGGCAUUCGUACUGCGACGUUAGAGGUGAAAUUCUUGGAUCGUCGCAAGACGUACUACUGCGAAGGCAUUUGCCAAGAAUGUUUUCAUUAAUCAAGAACGAAAGUUAUGGGUUCGAAGGCGAUCAGAUACCGCCCUAGUCAUAACCGUAAACGAUUCAAACUGGGCGCCCGACGGUGUUUUUAUUGACCCGUCGGGAACCCUCCCGGAAACGAAAGUGUUCGUGUUCCGGGGGAAAUAUGUCUGCAAAGAGGAAACUUAAAGGAAUUGACGGAAGGGCACCACCAGGGGUGGAGCCUGCGGCUUAAUUUGACUCAACACGGGGAAACUCACCCGGCCCGGACACCGUAAGGAUUGACAGAUUGAGAGCUCUUUCUUGAUUCGGUGGGUGGUGGUGCAUGGCCGUUCUUAGUUGGUGGAGUGAUUUGUCUGGUUUAUUCCGAUAACGAACGAGACUCUGGCCUGCUAACUAGUGUUCACAUCUUUACGUGUGCUUCGCUUCUUAGAGGGACAGGCGGCUUCCAGCCGCAUGAAGAAGAGCAAUAACAGGUCUGUGAUGCCCUUAGAUGUCCGGGGCUGCACGCGCGCUACACUGAAAGAAUCAGCGUGUACGUUACCUGGCUCGAAAGAGUCGGGUAAUCCGGUGAAAAUCUUUCGUGAUUGGGAUCGGGACUUGCAAUUAUUUCCCUUGAACGAGGAAUCCCUAGUAAGUGCGGGUCAUCAGCUCGCGCUGAUUACGUCCCUGCCCUUUGUACACACCGCCCGUCGCUGCCCGGAACUGAGCCGUUUCGAGAAAAAUGGGGACUGUCUACUUGAGGUCUUCACGGACUUUUUGUAAAUGGAAACCGCUU
rnacentral:rRNA from 1 species